AAACUACGACUUCCGGCGACUCAGAUGUCGCGGGACGGGAUUGGCAACUUAAGAAUCAGUCUAUGUAGCAGGUAGGAGUCUGAUUGGCUCUGUGCAUCCGUCACUCACAGGUUUAAUAGUCUCUUCGAAAGGGAGGCUCGCCCCAAAAAGAAAUGCUGUGGUGCUAUUGGUGGAAACAAGGAGUAGCGAGCCGAGCGUAUCAGCAUCGGGGGUGGAGGAUGGUACUUCCGCUGGGAUUGCCCAAUCGCCGAGUUGGGGCAGUUUCUAUAAAAGCUUGAACCUCAGCCAUUCUCGCUCUUUUGGGAUAAACUUCAAGGUUGAAGUGUGUUAGGUCCGUGUGCUACGCUUGGAUUGGAGAGGACCUGAGCACCGAGUGAAGCUGAGGGGGUCGCCCAAACCCGUAGGCCGGCGUAGCCCCGGGGCCAGCCUCGGCCUGAGCGCCAUCGUGGUCCUCGGCACUGUAACAUGUUCCUUUCGCGCUCCCCUCCCCAGUUCCGGCGGGGAAGUCCGGACCUCCAGACCUGCAGCUCCCUACAGUGCCGUUGGUGGGCUGGUUGGAGGCAUUGAAUGUGAACCAGCGUCAGUCAGUCCAGGUGCCUGGUGGUAAGUAAGGCUGGAGCAGUCCUGUGAGAAGCAAAUGAUCUUUUCAUACAUCUUUCAUCCCAAGAUGUAACCCAGACAUUUUGUGACUUAACCUGAGACUAACAGUCCACAUCUACCCGAAGUGCUUAGCAAUAAAGCAAACGUGGUAUGAGUUGA